GACGAACGCUGGCGGCGUGCCUAACACAUGCAAGUCGAGCGAGUGGAUCUCCUUCGGGAGUGAAGCUAGCGGCGGACGGGUGAGUAACACGUGGGCAACCUGCCUCAUAGAGGGGAAUAGCCUUUCGAAAGGAAGAUUAAUACCGCAUAAGAUUGUAGCUUCGCAUGAAGUAGCAAUUAAAGGAGCAAUCCGCUAUGAGAUGGGCCCGCGGCGCAUUAGCUAGAUGGUGAGGUAACGGCUCACCAAGGCGACGAUGCGUAGCCGACCUGAGAGGGUGAUCGGCCACAUUGGGACUGAGACACGGCCCAGACUCCUACGGGAGGCAGCAGUGGGGAAUAUUGCACAAUGGGGGAAACCCUGAUGCAGCAACGCCGCGUGAGUGAUGACGGCCUUCGGGUUGUAAAGCUCUGUCUUCAGGGACGAUAAUGACGGUACCUGAGGAGGAAGCCACGGCUAACUACGUGCCAGCCGCCGCAGUAAUAC
rnacentral:rRNA from 1 species